CCUGGAUACUGAGGUGUCUCCUGUGUGCUUUGUUAACAGGACUUCUCUUGUGCACAUCCUGAACAAGCUUUGGAAUCUGAUGCAAACAGGAAUCCAGAGUGUUUACUUCUCUGUGUUUCCAGGAGCCUGGAAUUUGGCACCAGAGUUAAAAUAGUCUCGUGAGGCUGAUGAUGGCUGUGCUGUGAUUGGAUGUCGGUGUCCUCCACAUCCCUCCUGCCCUGCCCUGUUCAUACAGAAACCCCCAUCACCAAGUUCACAAUGAAGCUUUAAGGUUCAUAUUGAGUCAAGGAAUAUGAGUAAAUCCACAAUUGAAAUGAAAUGUGCAGCUGCCAUUAGGAUGGACAUCUCCUGGCUGUGUUCCUUACUGGCAUUUCGGCAACAACCUGUGUGACUGGAGACAACACACUCGGGUUUUGAUGAGUUGUGCUAAAGCCAGAAUGGCCAAGACGUGAGAGUAGAGAAGGAUUUACAGCCUGCGGCAGGGAAACUACUUCAGCAUAAAAUGAUCCUGUUAAAAGUGAGCUGUUUCUGAAGAGUGUACUGUUGUGUGGGAAGUCUGUAAUCAUGCUUUUCAUUUCUACUGCAUCUCUCUGUGGCUCAAAACAAGGCAGGUGUGUCCACAGAGAGUGGGAAUUCCAAAAGUACGCUAGACAAGACUCUCCCUAAAGUUUACCCACGUCUUACUCGUGUAACGAAUCACCUUCCUGUUAAUUAUAAAUUAGAUACAACCAUGGUUUUUUUUCUUUCCUUUGUCUUCGGUGUUUGCU